GUUAAGUCAAUUAAAUUGACCCCCAGUGCUCAACAGGUACAUAUUCCAUUGACCCUGGGGAAUGAAAGGCAAAGUUGACCUUGGUGGAAUUUGAACUCAGAAUCUAAAGACAAAUGGGAUGCCACUAAGAAUCUUGUGCAGCAUGCUAAUGAUUCUGCUAGCUCACCACCCAUCUCCAGAAAUAUGAAAAAUAAUAUACACUGCUACAUGUUUACCCUACAUGGAAAUAUAUAGAUUAUUUUCUUGUACGACUGGUCACCUUACAUCGUCUGAUUAAGAAAGCCCUACAACAUAACCACAUACACAUACACAAAACACCCACGUAUUUAGGUAUAGAUAGCUGUCAACAAACAUAUUCUGUACGUAUGUGUGCUGUGUGUUGUGACUGAGUGUCUGUGUCUACAUAUAUACAUAAAUGCAUACAUUUGUGUGUGUGUGUGUGUGUGUGUGAAUGUACCGAUGUAACUCAAGACAUAUGCACACACACCUACCUACAUCUAUGUAUAUAUAUUUACAUUAAGAUGUGUGGAGCUUAAUGCAGUCCAUGUCAGCAUGGACGACAGAUUUUAAAUGAUGAUGUAGAUCAUUCUAAAUGGACACGCACACACACACACACACAGUGUCUUUGAAACAGAGUGAUCCUCUCACAAUAAUUUAAUCCUGUAACAGAAUCAAUAGCUGAUGGUGAAUCCUUUCUAUAAUCAAGAGCCCCAACCCUAACCCAACUCAGAAACCUGUCCCUGCUCUGGAAUAGAUGGAUGCAUGGCUGGAUUGAUGGACAGAGUGAGAGUCAAGAAGACAAACAGACAGACAGACAGACAGAGAGAUGUUAUUUCUAAAGAAAUCCACGACUGAACAACACCUCCUAAUUUAUCUGUGCCAGUUAGAGUAUAUUUCACUGUUUUAUAAUGUUCUGUUGCACUGAGUGUUUGUUAUGAAAUCAUUAAAAAGAAACUAGUAAUGUUAGAUGUGUUUGUGUGUGUAUGCACAGAUCGAUAAAGAAAUUCAUACGACUCACUCACGCAUGCAUGCACGCACACACACACACACACACACACAC